AUGGACGAGCUCUACGUCCAGUCGCUGGUGCUGGCGGCCGUGGCGGUGGCCCUGCUGCAGGUGCUGAAGGUGUACCUGAACCCGGUGCGGGAGAGGGCGCCGCCGGGGCCGUGGAAGCUGCCGGUGAUCGGCAGCAUGCACCACCUGCUGAACGUGCUGCCGCACCGCAAGCUGCGGGACCUGGCGGACGCGCACGGCCCGCUCAUGAUGCUGCAGCUCGGCCAGACGCCGCUGCUGGUGGUGUCGUCCAAGGAGACGGCGCGGCUGGUGCUCAAGACCCACGACACCAACUUCGCCACCCGCCCCAAGCUCCUCGCCGGCGAGAUCGUCGGCUACGAGUGGGCCGACAUCCUCUUCUCCCCCUCCGGCGACUACUGGCGCAAGCUCCGCCAGCUCUGCGCCGCCGAGAUCCUCAGCCCCAAGCGCGUGCUCUCCUUCCGCCACAUCAGGGAGGACGAGGUGAUGAUGCGGGUGGAGCAGAUCCGCGUGGCUGGGCCGUCGACGCCGGUGAACCUGAGCGUCAUGUUCCACAGCGUCACCAACAGCAUCGUGGCGCGGGCGGCGUUCGGGAAGAAGCGGAAGAACGCGGCCGAGUUCAUGGCCGCCAUCAAGUCCGGCGUGGGCCUGGCGAGCGGCUUCAACAUCCCCGACCUCUUCCCGACGUGGACCACCAUGCUCGCCACCAUCACCGGCAUGAAGCGCAGCCUCCAGGGCAUCUACACCACGGUGGACGCCAUCCUGGAGGAGAUCAUCGCCGAGAGGAAGGCCGCCCGCGCCGAGAAGAUCAAGAACGGCGCCACCGAGAACGUGGACGAGAACCUGGUGGACGUGCUCAUCGGGCUGCAGGAGAAGGGCGGCUUCGGGUUCCACCUGGACGACAGCAGGAUGAAGGCCAUCAUCCUCGACAUGUUCGCGGGCGGCACGGGCACGUCGGCGUCGGCGAUGGAGUGGGGGAUGUCGGAGCUGAUGCGCAACCCGCGGGUUAUGAAGAAGCUGCAGGCCCAGAUCCGGGAGGCGUUCAAGGGGAAGGCGGCCGUGACGGAGGCCGACCUGCAGGCGAGCAACCUGCAGUACCUGAAGCUGGUGAUCAAGGAGGCGCUCCGGUUGCACCCGCCGGCGCCGCUGCUGGUGCCCCGGGAGAGCAUCGACCAGUGCGACAUGGAAGGGUACACCGUCCCGGCCAAGUCGCGCGUGGUCAUCAACGCGUGGGCCAUCGGGCGGGACCCCAAGUACUGGGAGGCUGCCGAGGAGUUCCGGCCGGAGCGGUUCGAGGACGGCGCCGUGGACUUCACCGGCAGCAGCUACGAGUUCCUCCCGUUCGGCGCCGGGCGCAGGAUGUGCCCGGGCUUCAACUACGGGCUGGCCAGCAUGGAGCUCGCCCUCGUCGGCCUCCUCUACCACUUCGACUGGUCGCUGCCGGAGGGCGUGGCCGAGGUCGACAUGGAGGAGGCCCCCGGCCUCGGCGUGCGCCGCCGCACCCCGCUGAUGCUCCUCGCCACCCCCUUCGUCCCGGCCGCCGUCGCGUAG
rnacentral:rRNA from 1 species